rnacentral:rRNA from 1 species
UAGCGGAGGGGCUAGCGUUGUUCGGAAUACUGGCGUAAAGCGCACGUAGGCGGCUUUGUAAGUUAGAGGUGAAAGCCGGGCUCAACUCCGGAAUUGCCUUAAGACUGCAUCGCUAGAAUUGUGGAGAGGUAAGUGGAAUUCCGAGUGUAGAGGUGAAAUUCGUAGAUAUUCGGAAGAACACCAGUGGCGAAGGCGGCCUGCUGGGCAGUUUGCUGACACUGAGGCGCGACAGCGUGGGAGCAACAGGAUAGAUAC